CAGCGCCUCCUGCUCCACCCACACACCCCGCCACGUGGCGGCCGGGUGAGGGCCACGGGGCGGCUU
rnacentral:pre_miRNA from 1 species